rnacentral:sRNA from 1 species
AUGUGCCACUCGUACACUCCGGUUCCUUGUGCGCCGUCCACGCCCACCUGACGACCGCUCGCCACGUUGUGUGAGCC